UAUAUUUGCGCUAUGCAUUGUUCCGAGCCUGUAUCCGCGGGUAAGGAUUAAAAGGGAACCGGGUGUGAAUCCCGGACAGUCCCGCUGCUGUGAGCUUCAUAACGUAUCAGGCAUACUUUUGCCACUGUUCUGUAAGGGGAAUGGGAAGGCGCUUGAUCCGGAAGUAAGUCAGAAGACCUGCAAGGCAUAUUAUUUCGAC
rnacentral:ncRNA from 2 species